GAGUUUGAUCCUGGCUCAGGAUGAACGCUAGCUACAGGCUUAACACAUGCAAGUCGAGGGGCAGCAUGUCGGUUGCUUGCAACCGAUGAUGGCGACCGGCGCACGGGUGAGUAACGCGUAUCCAACCUACCCUUGUCCAUCGGAUAACCCGUCGAAAGGCGGCCUAACACGGUAUGCGGUUCUCAGCAGGCAUCUAACGAGAACGAAAUGUGAAGGAGAAGGAUGGGGAUGCGUCUGAUUAGCUUGUUGGCGGGGUAACGGCCCACCAAGGCGACGAUCAGUAGGGGUUCUGAGAGGAAGGUCCCCCACAUUGGAACUGAGACACGGUCCAAACUCCUACGGGAGGCAGCAGUGAGGAAUAUUGGUCAAUGGACGGGAGUCUGAACCAGCCAAGUAGCGUGCAGGAUGACGGCCCUAUGGGUUGUAAACUGCUUUUAUAGGGGGAUAAAGUGUGCCACGUGUGGCAUAUUGCAGGUACCCUAUGAAUAAGGACCGGCUAAUUCCGUGCCAGCAGCCGCGGUAAUACGGAAGGUCCGGGCGUUAUCCGGAUUUAUUG
rnacentral:rRNA from 1 species